GGGAUCAUUACUGAGUGAGGGCUCACGCCCGACCUCCAACCCUUUGUGAACACAUCUUGUUGCUUCGGGGGCGACCCUGCCGGCACUACGUCGCCGGGCGCCCCCGAAGGUCUCCAAACACUGCAUCUUUGCGUCGGAGUUUAAAACAAAUUAAACAAAACUUUCAACAACGGAUCUCUUGGUUCUGGCAUCGAUGAAGAACGCAGCGAAAUGCGAUAAGUAAUGUGAAUUGCAGAAUUCAGUGAAUCAUCGAAUCUUUGAACGCACAUUGCGCCCUUUGGUAUUCCGAAGGGCAUGCCUGUUCGAGCGUCAUUUCACCACUCAAGCCUGGCUUGGUAUUGGGCGUCGCGGCUCCGCGCGCCUUAAAGUCUCCGGCUGAGCCAUUCGUCUCUAAGCGUUGUGGAUUUUCUAAUUCGCUUCGGAGUGCGGGUGGCCGCGGCCGUUAAAUCUUUAUUCAAAGGUUGACCUCG
rnacentral:rRNA from 1 species